rnacentral:rRNA from 1 species
GGGGGGGGGGGGGGGCGGGCCGGGGGGGGGCGGGGCGAGCGGGACCGGCGGGGCUGGUGGCGCGGGGGUGCGUGACGCGGGGGAACCUGCCCGUAGGUGCGGAAUAACUCCCCGAAAGGGGUGCUAAUACCGGAUAAUGUCUGCGGCCCAACGAUUUAUCGCCUUUGGAUGGGCCCGCGUUGGAUUAGCUAGUUGGUAGGGUAAAAGCCUACCAAGGCGACGAUCCAUAGCUGGUCUGAGAGGAUGAUCAGCCACACUGGGACUGAGACACGGCCCAGACUCCUACGGGAGGCAGCAGUGGGGAAUAUUGGACAAUGGGCGAAAGCCUGAUCCAGCAAUGCCGCGUGAGUGAUGAAGGCCUUAGGGUUGUAAAGCUCUUUUACCCGGGAUGAUAAUGACAGUACCGGGAGAAUAAGCUCCGGCUAACUCCGUG